CCUUAAUCCCACAUAUUCUCUUUACCCGAUCUCCUUCUCGCAGCGGCGGCUGAAUCCUUCUCCAGCGGUGGCAGAAUCCUUCUCCUGCAGCGGCGCAGGUCUCGCUCGGUGUAGUUGGAGACACUCGUAUCAUAAAGCAUUUUUGUAGAUCUUCCCCGUGGUCAUUAGAGGUGACAUCUAAUAUUUUUUCCCCUCUUGUUCUACAAGCUAUUUGAAGAAAAAUGUUCCGCUCUAAGUCAGAUUCCUCCGCGUGACGAUGAUGAUGAUGGCGAUGAUGAUAACGAUGAUGCUGGUGAUGCUAUUUCAUGAUUUUAAUUAUGUCUGAUGAUUAUUUGUCUCAUAAUUAGUGUUUUAUACAUUAAACCAUGCCAUGUUAACUUUUCUAAUUUUUAUUUUAUUUAAUAUUGUUAAUUUGUUUUUAACAGGAUUGGUGAGG